AGUGAACGCUGGCGGUAGGCCUAACACAUGCAAGUCGAACGGCAGCACAGUAAGAGCUUGCUCUUACGGGUGGCGAGUGGCGGACGGGUGAGGAAUACAUCGGAAUCUACUUUUUCGUGGGGGAUAACGUAGGGAAACUUACGCUAAUACCGCAUACGACCUACGGGUGAAAGCAGGGGAUCUUCGGACCUUGCGCGAUUGAAUGAGCCGAUGUCGGAUUAGCUAGUUGGCGGGGUAAAGGCCCACCGAGGCGACGAUCCGUAGCUGGUCUGAGAGGAUGAUCAGCCACACUGGAACUGAGACACGGUCCAGACUCCUACGGGAGGCAGCAGUGGGGAAUAUUGGACAAAGGGCGCAAGCCUGAUCCAGCCAUACCGCGUGGGUGAAGAAGGCCUUCGGGUUGUAAAGCCCUUUUGUUGGGAAAGAAAAGCAGCAGGUUAAUACCCCGCUGUUCUGACGGUACCCAAAGAAUAAGCACCGGCUAACUUCGUG
rnacentral:rRNA from 1 species